AUGAACGCUGGCGGCGUGCCUAAUACAUGCAAGUCGAGCGAACAGAUGAGGAGCUUGCUCCUCUGACGUUAGCGGCGGACGGGUGAGUAACACGUGGAUAACCUACCUAUAAGACUGGGAUAACUUCGGGAAACCGGAGCUAAUACCGGAUAAUAUAUUGAACCGCAUGGGUCAAUAGUGAAAGACGGUUUUGCUGUCACUUAUAGAUGGAUCCGCGCCGCAUUAGCUAGUUGGUAAGGUAACGGCUUACCAAGGCAACGAGGCGUAGCCGACCUGAGAGGGUGAUCGGCCACACUGGAAGUGAGAAACGGUCCAGACUCCUACGGGAGGCAGCAGUAGGGAAUCUUCCGCAAAGGGCGAAAGCCUGACGGAGCAACGCCGCGUGAGUGAUGAAGGUCUUCGGAUCGUAAAACUCUGUUAUUAGGGAAGAACAAAUGUGUAAGUAACUAUGCACGUCUUGACGGUACCUAAUCAGAAAGCCCCGGCUAACUACGUG
rnacentral:rRNA from 1 species